AUCUGAAUGAGGCGAAGAAGCCAGCACAUGAUAUCAGUGCUUGAGUUUGGAUAUGAUUUGACUGUGUUCCCCAAGGAUUUGUGUAUGAAAAGUUUAGUCCUUGGUGAGGAGGUUUUUGGGAGAUGGUGGAAUUUUUAGAAGGAGGCCUUCACCAGAAGCUGAACAAGUGGAACUGCCCAACCUUAGACUUUCAUUCUUCAAAACUGACCCAGUUGCCCUUGCCAUGCUGUGAGGAGGCCCCACUGACCCACCAGAAAGGCUACCAUGGGUCAGGGUCCUGAUGGGCAGCCAGCUGUGGCCUCAGCUGAUAUGCAUCAAUCAGUACCCAUGUGAAUGAAGAUACCUCCAGAUGAUUCCAGAACAGAGCUGUCAUUUCACCCAACUUUUAGUUCUUCCCAACAGAGGCUCUCGAUAUCACAAAGGGAAGAUAAGUAUUUCUACUAUACUCUAUUCAACUCUUGAUCCAUAGAUAAUAUGAGAGAUGCUGUUGUUCUAAGUCACAAAUUUUGAGGUUAUUUGUUGCAAAACAAUAGGUAACUAAUACAGAGAGCCACACGGCAGAACCUAGGUGUUUAGUUUCUCCACUUUAGUGCUUUUUCCACCUUAUUACCUUUUGGUCAAGCAAGAAAAUAAGUGAUCAAGAAUCAUUUGUUGAACAGCUAUUAGGAACAGUGCCCUCUGGAAAAUGUAAGGGACUCUAAAACUUGCUGUUCACCUUCAAGAAACACUCCCUAAUCCAAGUGAGAAAGACAUCCAGGAGCAGAGUUAAGAGGCUGGUACACAAGUCAUGGUAAGAGAUGGGAAGAAACCCAAGUGUGUCACAGGAAUAGGAGAGAAACCAGAGUCCAAGGAAUAUUCUGAGGGUUAGUUGACAAGACUUCCAAGUAAGGAAUGUGCAGAAAGAAGAGGUAAGCAUUCUAUUGUUUCUAGCCAUUAAUGUAGAUAGAAAAUCUAGGCGGAAACUCAGGCUUGAGAGAACUUUAUGGUGUACAAUUUGGUCUGGUCAUCAAUGGAGUUAAUGUCUGUUCCCAAAAGCAUUUUCAUCGCUAAACAAU